UGUCUUUUUGAUAAUAAUUUAAAGUCUGGUCUGCCCACUGAAAUUUUAAAUGGCCGCGGUAUUUUGACCGUGCAAAGGUAGCAUAAUCAUUAGUUUUUUAAUUGAAAGCUGGUAUGAAUGAUUGGAUGAGAAAAUAACUGUCUCAAAUUAAUUUAUAUAGAAUUUUAUUUUUAAGUUAAAAAGCUUAAAUUUAAUUUAAAGACGAGAAGACCCUAUAGAGUUUGAUAAAUAAGAUUAUUUAUUUUUUUAGUUUUUAUAGUUUAGAUUUAUUUUAUUUAUUUUAUUGGGGUGAUGAAAAAAUUUAAUUAACUUUUUUUUUAUUUUUACAUUGAUAAAUGAUUUUUUGAUCCAUAAUUUAUGAUUAUAAGAUAAAAUUACCUUAGGGAUAACAGCGUAAUUUUUUUUAAGAGUUCUAAUCGAAAAAAGAGAUUGCGACCUCGAUGUUGGAUUAAAGUAUAUAUUUGGCGCAGUASCUAAAAUAUUAGGUCUGUUCGACCUUUAAAACUUU
rnacentral:rRNA from 1 species